CCCCUAGACGUUCUGGGCUGCACGCGCGCUACAAUAAUACGCCCAGCGAGUAUCACCGAGCUCGAAAGGGCAAGGUAAACAAUAGAAAAGGUACUGUAAUGGUUAUAGAUCCUUGUAAUUAUUGAUCUUCAACGAGGAAUUCCUAGUAAGUAUGUGUCAUCAUCACGCACUGAUUACGUCCCUGCCCUUUGUACACACCGCCCGUCGCUCCUACCGAUUGGGUGAGCCGAUGAAACUCUCGGAUGUAGGCUAUUCAUAGCCCGCAGAAGAGAUUUGAAUCGUAGCGCUUAGAGGAAGGAGAAGUCGUAACA
rnacentral:rRNA from 1 species